AGUGAACGCUGGCGGUAGGCCUAACACAUGCAAGUCGAACGGCAGCACAGUAAGAGCUUGCUCUUACGGGUGGCGAGUGGCGGACGGGUGAGGAAUACAUCGGAAUCUACUUUUUCGUGGGGGAUAACGUAGGGAAACUUACGCUAAUACCGCAUACGACCUACGGGUGAAAGCAGGGGAUCUUCGGACCUUGCGCGAUUGAAUGAGCCGAUGUCGGAUUAGCUAGUUGGCGGGGUAAAGGCCCACCAAGGCGCCGAUCCGUAGCUCGUCUGAGAGGAUGAUCAACCCCCCUAGCCCUGAGCCACCGUCCCGACUCCUAGGGGAGGCACCAGUCGCGACUCUUUGCAAAUGAGCGCACGCCUGAUACAGGCAUACCGCGUGGACGACGACGCUCUACGGCUGGGAAAGCCGUUUUGUUGGGAGAGGACAGCAACAGGUUAAAGUGUCGAGGUUCUGACGGUACCCAAUGACUAGGCAACGGCUAACUUCGUG
rnacentral:rRNA from 1 species